UACGAGGGGGGCAAGCGUUGUUCGGAAUUAUUGGGCGUAAAGGGCGCGUAGGCGGUUUGACAAGUCUGAUGUGAAAUCUAUGGGCUCAACUCAUAGUCUGCAUUAGAAACUGUCGGGCUUGAGUAUGGGGAGAGGUGAGUGGAAUUUCCGGUGUAGCGGUGAAAUGCGUAGAUAUCGGAAGGAACACCUGUGGCGAAAGCGGCUCACUGGACCAUAACUGACGCUGAUCUGCGAAAGCUAGGGGAGCAAACGGGG
rnacentral:rRNA from 1 species